CCUACGGGAGGCAGCAGUGGGGAAUAUUGCACAAUGGGCGCAAGCCUGAUGCAGCCAUGCCGCGUGUGUGAAGAAGGCCUUCGGGUUGUAAAGCACUUUCAGUCGUGAGGAAGGUAGUUACGUUAAUAGCGUAAUUAUUUGACGUUAGCGACAGAAGAAGCACCGGCUAACUCCGUGCCAGCAGCCGCGGUAAUACGGAGGGUGCGAGCGUUAAUCGGAAUUACUGGGCGUAAAGCGCAUGCAGGUGGUUUGUUAAGUCAGAUGUGAAAGCCCGGGGCUCAACCUCGGAAUUGCAUUUGAAACUGGCAGACUAGAGUACUGUAGAGGGGGGUAGAAUUUCAGGUGUAGCGGUGAAAUGCGUAGAGAUCUGAAGGAAUACCGGUGGCGAAGGCGGCCCCCUGGACAGAUACUGACACUCAGAUGCGAAAGCGUGGGGAGCAAACAGGAUUAGAUACCCUGGUAGUCCACGCCGUAAACGAUGUCGUACUUGGAGGUUGUGCGCCUUGAGCCGUGGCUUUCGGAGCUAACGCGUUAAGUAGACCGCCUGGGGAGUACGGUCGCAAGAUUAAAACUCAAAUGAAUUGAC
rnacentral:rRNA from 1 species